rnacentral:tRNA from 1 species
CUCUAUGGCUCAAUUGGUAGAGCAUGGCACUUGCAAUGCCACGAUUGUGGGUUCAAUUUCUGGAG